rnacentral:rRNA from 1 species
GACGAACGCUGGCGGCGUGCUUAAUACAUGCAAGUCGAACGCAGUGGGGACGGGUGAGUAACACGUGGGUAACCUCCCAUCAGAGGGGAUAACACGUGGAAACAGGUGCUAAACCGAUACUGAUGGAUGGACCCGCGGUGCAUUAGCUAGUUGGUGGGGUAACGGCUCACCAAGGCCACGAUGCAUAGCCGACCUGAGGGGGUGAUGGGCCACACGGGGACUGAGACACGGCCCAGACUCCUACGGGAGGCAGCAGGAGGGAAUCUUCGGCAAUGGACGAAAGUCUGACCGGGCAACGCCGCGUGAGUGAAGAAGGUUUUCGGAUCGUAAGACUCUGUUGUUAGAGAAGCGGUAUCUAACCAGAAAGCCACGGCUAACUACGUGCCAGCAGCCGCGGUAAUUC